UUCGAUGUUUUGAACACUGAUUCGGGUAAUAAUCUCUCAUCUUAUUCCCUAUUAUAGAAUUGAAAUUUAAUUAUCAAUAAUAUUGUAUUUUGCAUAAUUUAAAAAACUUCAAGAAUUAAUUACAGGUUACUAAUAGAGACAGAACUGGUUAUCUUUAAUUAUUUGUCCUAUUUAACUGUUUGUUUGAUUUUGCAGUUUUAAAUGCAUUAUAAUAUAUUAGAAUUGGUAAAAUAAUUCAGUUGUGUUUUUCUUGAUGCAUGUAUUAUUUGUCUUGUGUUGAUUUACGGUUAAAUUGUGAAACUGAAAAUUAAAUGUGAACAAAAAUUUGAUUGGUUAAAUAAAUGAAUGAAUGGUAGCCUUACUGGAUAUCCUAAUAGAUGAUGGAUGGACCAGGUACAUAGAAAAUCCUACCGUAAACGUCACCUCAUAUCGGACGGGGUAUCCAGGAUUAGUAUUUUUGGUGCUCAUACCAGAUGGGGUAUGGGGACGACUCGUUUCACCCUCAUACCGGACGGGAUAUCGAUGAUUGGUAUUUUUGGCACUCAUACUAGACGGGAUAUAGGGACGACCAGUUUCACCCUCAUACCAGACGGGAUAUUGAGGGAUGGUAUUUUUGGCGCUUAUACUAGAC
rnacentral:lncRNA from 1 species